rnacentral:lncRNA from 1 species
AUGCAGGCGGCCCCCCCAGCAGGCGAGGACUUGGGGGGGGUCCUGAGGCCGCGCAGAACUCGGCUCGCCCCCGAGCACGCGGCGACGGAGGAACGGCACCGGGGAGGGCGCAGUGCCGUGGGUCCCAUCCUGCCCCCCGCAGCCCCUCGGCAGCGCCCGCCUGGGAACUCCCCAGCCCUGCUCCUUGCACCCGGGGGCCAGCGCCGUGACUCAGCCCCGCUGGGCACCGCUCCCGGCUCCGGCACCGGCCCGGCCGGGCAGAAAAUCCCCCCGCUGGGAGCCAGCACGGAGGGGAUCGACUGCAGCCGUGUUUUGGGGACCGCGGGGUUCUGCCGCCGGUCGUCGCUCGCGCCUGUGCUGGGAGCUCCCGCACGGCCACGCGGGCACCGGGCCGGCCCGGCCACCCCACAGCCGCUCGUGUCCUGCUCCCCCCCCCGAGCCGAGCUGGCCUGGACAGGGAAACUGAGGCACGGGAGGCGGCGGGGCCGUGCGGGUGGGUGUGGGCGCUCGCAGCACCCCGGGACUCCCCCAAACGGGGCUGGGAAGGAGGCGCACGGCCGGAGGAAGGGGUUAAAAGCGAAGCGAGCUGCGUUUUGUUCUGAUCCCCUGCCAAACCGCGGGGGCCGGGAAGCCCGGGGCGGGAUGGGGUGGGGGGGGGGGAGCUCGGGGGCUUUUUGCCAGGGCAGCCCCGGCCCUAAACCCACCGGGGUCACGGCAGCGCCGAGCCCGCCAGGUCUCAGCGACGACCGCAGUGACGGGCACCGGUGGGACCCGGGGGGGGGGCCGCGGGGCAGAGCAGGGCGUGAGCCCCCCCCCCCAGGGCCGCUCUUCGCCCCCGCGCCGGGCCCGGCGCAGAUGGGAAUGUGCUGGGAAGACGGAAAGUUUCCCCCGGCGGCGAGCGGGGCCGCGGGAGCGCUCCGGCCACAUCUGCUCGGGCCGAGCCGCGUUCUGGGCGCCCGCCCGGAGCGGGGCGCGGGGCCACGGGCGCCCGACCAAGGCAGCGCUGCCGGGAAAGGGAGGGGGUCCCCAGCCCCGCUCCCACGCAGCAUCCUCCCUGCCUCCCUCCCUGCCUCCCUCCCUGCCUCCCUCUCCGGGAAGGCCCCGGCUCUUCCCGCGCCCCACGGUCCCGCUGCUCCCAACCCCUGCCGUGCCCCCUCCCUGGGCCACCCCCCGCGAUUUGGGGGGCUCCUUUUUAAGCACCCUGCUCCAGCCUCCCCCCCCCACCCCGGGGACGCGCGACGGGGACACGGAGCAGCCAGUGAGUGGCUGGGGUUGGGAAGAGGGGCGAUGGCCCCCCAGCCACGCUGCGGUCCCCGCUGCGGCCCGGGCACGCGGCCCAGGCCAGGCACGGGUCCCCACGUCACCACGGCCGUCCCCAGGGCUGUCCCGGGAGGGGCGGCCGCGCAGGGGGGGGAGGCGGGCGGCCGGGACGUGCGCGGGGCGCUGGGUAGAGUUACUGCCUCGGCUAUUUCGGGGCUGGAACAUUCCUAG